rnacentral:rRNA from 1 species
AUUGAACGCUGGCGGCAAGCCUAACACAUGCAAGUCGAACGAGUGGCGGACGGGUGAGUAAUGUCUGGGAAACUGCCUGAUGGAGGGGGAUAACUACUGGAAACGGUAGCUAAUACCGCAUACCAUCGGAUGUGCCCAGAUGGGAUUAGCUAGUAGGUGGGGUAAAGGCUCACCUAGGCGACGCUCCCUAGCUGGUCUGCGAGGAUGACCAGCCAAACGGGAAUUGAGACACGGUCCAGACUCCUAGGGGAGGCAGAAGUGGGUAAUAUGGCACAAGGGGGGCAAGCCUGAUGCAGCCAUGCCGGGUGUAUGAAGAAGGCCUUCGGUUUGUAAAGUACUUUCAGCGGGGAGGCGUUACCCGCAGAAGAAGCACCGGCUAACUCCGUGCCAGCAGCCGCGGUAAUA